rnacentral:lncRNA from 1 species
CAAAGAAGGCGGGGGUGGGGGUAGCAGCAGAAGGAGCUACUCCCCGGCCGCUGCACAGUGACCAGAGCAGCCCGCGAUCAGAGCUCUGAACCCGACUAGUUCCUGGCUUCCUCUUCGGUUCCCUCCUCCUUCUGCAGCGACAACCCCCAGGGUCUCUCCGUAGAGCCUUCGAGAGCCCACGGUGGCCCGGGGCGCCGCGCCCUGACCCGCGCUCUAGGGUCGUGGAGGACUGCGCCCCAUCUGGGAAGACUGCGGCGCUAAGCCUCAAGUACCCCAGGGACACUGAGAAAUCGAAAAACGCGAGUCAGAGCAACUCCCGCCCCCCAGGAGCUGGGAACAAAGACCCCUUUGUUCAGCUCUGUCCCUCUCCCGAGAGACCAGAGUCCCGUGGGUGUGGUGUCGUGGAGGGGAGGAGACAGGUCACUGCAGGUAACCCGCCUCCGCCUAGAACUUGGGAGGGGGAGGCACCCCACCGUGGUGUCCUAGGUAGCAAAGGCCGCCUGGGGCUCUGGAGGGAGGUGUCCCCCUUCAGGUGCACCUGCCAGCCCCAGCUCCAAGUCAGCUGAGUGCCUGCUACUCGGAUGAUGGGGUCUCUCCAGGUGUGAGGUUUGUGAACUCUCCUCGGCUCCGAAAGGAAUUUCAGAUAUCGUUCUCAUGAAGACAUCUUCCUUCACUGGUCUUGAGUUCCAGGAUCUCUAAGCUCAGCUCAAUCACUCACUGCUAUAAACAAUGAUGGACUUGCACAAAGGUAAGUAGCGUGAACAGCGAGCAGCUCUCAUACCCCAUUUACAUUCUGGAAAAAGUCAAGUACAGUGACUAUGUGGCAUGCUAUAUUGAAAAUACAUUUUGGUCCACUCAGGCUCAACAAGAAAGAGACUUAAAGAUCAGCUAGAGAUUUCUAACAUGGUCAUGGAAAAUUCUUGGUUUUAGAUCACAGUAGGAAUCCUGACUUUGAUCACCGGGCAGCCAGUUUUUAAAAGGCACAUUUGUACUCAUCUGAGUGUUUCAAAGGAAAGCGAGGAGGCACUUACAGCCCUGUGAUCCACUGUCAUGGACUUCCUCCUUCGUCAAGGUGGUAAAAUUAUGUUGUGGUAUCAAAUAAAGACCAAUUCAGGCUUAAUCAACUAACUAAUGGAAUUAUUCCGCUACCCAGGGUAAGGGAAAGUCACUGCCUUAAACAGAGGCUUCCAUGGCCAUCCUUGAACAGAAAAACCAUCUGGAAGGUAACACACCUGCUUUCUGUUUCUCUUAAGGAUUACAUGUGUCACUUGUUUGAAGAGCUCAUUGACCAUAAAUCUCUGAGGGAGAGGGAAAGAAAGAAUGGGAGGAGGGGAAAGAAAGGGAGCAUGCACUUGGGUUCCAGCAAACCUCAUCUGGAGGAAGGGUCCACCCAUGGAUCUGCUGUCACUCUAUCUCUUCUGUCUGCCACCUUUGCUACAUCCCAAGAAGACUUUCUGCAUCUUAAUUCUGAAUAUGAAAUGAAUAGGCUUUGUGUUUGUUUUCUCGUCGUUGUCUUUUGAGACUAGGUCACAUGCAACUUAAACUAGCCUUGAACUUCUAAUGUAGCCAAGGAAGAACUUGAACUUCUGAUUCCUGCUUCUACCUUCAAUGCUGGGACUGCAAGUCUAUGCGACUCCAUCUAGCUGCACUGGGUCAUUGGACUCCUGUUUAUCUAGUGAGUGUACCAGUAUCCCCUAAUUUCUCCAUCCAUGAACAACACUUGUUUAAGAUUCUUUACCACAUCCGGAGACAAGCCAUGGAACGCUUUGCAAAUGAUUUGAUGGCUUAGUUUUGGCUCCCUCAGAGCCAUGCCCCACAUGGAUGGUGCAGCUUCUCAUGGAAUCAUCUAUCGCUCACACUUCAUUUCUCACCAUCCUCAAAUUUUAGGCUCAGGGAAAAUAAUUUUUUUAGAAAGAUCCCAGUUUACAGUAUUCUUCCAUGGCUCUGUGCUUGAUCACACUGACCUUACCUCCUAACACUUACUUUGCCCACCAGCCACCCCUCGGUUGUAGAGCAUCAAAGCCAUGCUCGCACCUUUAAGCGACUUGUUUUUGCUGAGUUACACAGAUAUGCUGUGAACACCCAUUCACAAAGCAGAUGUUGGGUGAUGAACAAGGCAACACAAAUAAAGUAAUUAUCUCAAUUUCUACUGUCUGUUCCCCGGUGUAUUCCCAGCAGCUUACAGAGUCCUUAGUGCAUUGUGGGAACAAAAUUGUAUGGGGGAGAAGUAAGUAUUAGUUAUCAUAAUUAUUAUCUCAACUACACCAAUAGUUGUUAGUUUAUCUGGUCUUUGUUUUCUGUUUUGUAUCAACCCCUGAGGUUGUAAGUCUGUCUAUCACAUAGGCUGUACUAGGCAAUGUUUGAUAAGUGAGCAAUGAGUGAACGAAUGGAUAGGAUUCACCUAGGGCAGAUCUUUCUGUUCAACAAGUGUGAGCACUAAAGUCGUCAUGCAUUUAUUGUUCACUUAGCUCUCCAGUCUCAUGAUUUCCUCACUGAACGUGGAGGUAUUGGCAAAAGGUACACGUUCUCUACUGGUUUCUCCUGGAAUUGGAAUUAAAGGGAUAUUUUGAGCACCUACCUCUGUAUCUAAGUGAAAGACAUAAAGGGAGUUGUGGUUCAAAUUUG